rnacentral:rRNA from 1 species
CCUACGGGUGGCUGCAGUGAGGAAUCUUGGUCAAUGGACGCAAGUCUGAACGAGCCAUGCCGCGUGCAGGAAGACGGCUCUAUGAGUUGUAAACUGCUUUUGUACGCGGGUAAAAGCAUAUACGCGUAUCUGUCUGCCAUUAUCGUACGAAUAAAGAUCGGCUAACUCCGUUCCAUCAGCGGAGGUACUACGGAGGAUUCAAGCUAUCGCCGGUUUUCUUGGGGUUAAAGGGUGCGUGGGCGGUCGGAUAAGUUAGAGGUGAAAUGCCCAGGCUCCACGUCGGAAUUAACUCUGAUACUGUUCGGCGAGAGAGUAGAUGAGGUAAGUGGAAUGGAGGGUGUAGCGGUGAAAUGCGUAGAGAUCAGACAGAACACCGAUUGCGAAGGCAGCUUACCAAGCUACUUCUGACGUUGAGGCACGAAAGCGUGGGGAGCAAACAGGAUUAGAUACCCCUGUAGUC